rnacentral:rRNA from 1 species
CCUACGGGCGGCAGCAGUCGAGAAUCAUUCACAAUGGGGGAAACCCUGAUGGGGCGACGCCGCGUGGGGGAAUGAAGGUCUGCGGAUUGUAAACCCCUGUCAUGUGGGAGCAAAUUAAAAAGAUAGUACCACAAGAGGAAGAGACGGCUAACUCUGUACCAGCAGCCGCGGUAAUACAGAGGGCGCAAGCGUUGUUCGGAAUCACUGGGCGUAAAGCGUGCGUAGGCUGUUUCGUAAGUCGUGUGUGAAAGGCGCGGGCUCAACCCGCGGACGGCACAUGAUACUGCGAGACUAGAGUAAUGGAGGGGGAACCGGAAUUCUCGGUGUAGCAGUGAAAUGCGUAGAUAUCGAGAGGAACACUCGUGGCGAAGGCGGGUUCCUGGACAUUAACUGACGCUGAGGCACGAAGGCCAGGGGAGCGAAAAGGAUUAGAUACCCCAGUAGUC